rnacentral:tRNA from 1 species
GCCCGGGUGGCGGAAUUGGCAGACGCUGAGGACUUAAAAUCCUCUGCCUGAAAAGGCGUGCGGGUUCGAGUCCCGCCCCGGGCA